GAAACACGGACCAAGGAGUUCAACUGGAUUGCGAGUCGUAGAGUUUAUCACAAAGCUCCAACGGCGAAGCGAAAGCAAAAUCGUGCGAAGUGUAAUUUUAUUGCACUGCAGCACAGGCUGAUUAUGGAUAUGCGUAGAUUUUUAAUGUGCGUAUACUUUACAAUUUAUUGUAAGGACUAAUCAAGCUAUAGAGCACUUUAGUUGAGACCCGAAAGAUGGUGAACUAUGCUCGGACAUGGUGAAGCCAGGUGAAAACUUGGUGGAAGCUUGCGUUGUGCGGAACUGACGUGCAAAUCGUUGCCGCCUGACCUGAGUAUAGGGGCGAAAGACUCAUCGAACCAUCUAGUAGCUGGUUCCCUCCGAAGUUCCCCUCAGGAUAGCUCGAAUUUAUUACACUCUUCAUAAAGAGUAACACAAGGGUAAAGCAAUGAGACGCGGUAUCUGUGGGUCUUAUUUAAAUGACCUCGGCCUUCUCUCAAACUUUAAAUCUGUGCGAAUCGAUGUGCUUACUUUGAAUCACAAACAAUUUAUUGUAUGUGAGUGAAGCCAUUAUUUUGAUCGUAUCUAAAAUUCGUAGUGGGCCAUUUCUGGUAAGCAGAACUGGCGAUGAGGGAUUCAACCUGACGUUCUCAAGAUAAGCCGGGCUUAAUCAUAUCUGCUCCAACCUUCCGAUAAACGCGA
rnacentral:rRNA from 1 species